rnacentral:precursor_RNA from 7 species
CAGAGGAGCGAUCCCACGGAGCGCGCUGCGAUGGCUGUGAGUGCGGCUGAGGUGUCAGAGCAUCCUCCUCAGCCGUCUUGCAGCCUCCUCAGCCCAUGCGCUGCUAUUUUCUGAGUCAU